rnacentral:lncRNA from 1 species
GCACGUUUGUAGUCGGAUCGUCAAAGUCGUCUCCACCAAAUCGAUAGUUAUCAUCUCAUCGAAAGAUCGGGACACCCCGCCUCUAUCAAGUGGUAUCAGUUUUCAGGUUGCUCGGUGAGAAUUUCCAGUUUUUCCUAGAUUAGAUUUAUUUUCUUACCUAUUGUCCAAGAAAAAGCCACAAAACAAAAGUUAGAUCUAUUCAUCCAUUGUCCUAGCCAGACUGAGCCUUUGCAAUUUUCUUUUCAUUGUUUGCAUUAUUGAAUUAUCGGUUGCAUCGCCAUGUCGAGUUGCUGGUCUUAGUGUCUACUUCCUUUAGAGUUUCGAGUUCUGUUCACAUUAGUCACGCAGCCGCUGCAUCAUUAUCCCAUCCGCUGUCCACCAUCCCAUCCACCAAUUUCCACCACGUGCUACGCACUGUUUAUUGUCAUAAUCAUAGUUGAGGUCACUCACAUCUUCGCUUGAUCGAAUCUGCAUCUUAUCUAGUUUGUCUUGGAAAGAGGGAGAAAAAGAAGAUAAAGAAAAAAAGAGAGAAAAAAGGAAAGAAAAAAAAGGAAAAAGAGGGAGAAGAAAAAGAAAAAAAAAGCGUGAGAAAAAAAAAGAGAGAAGAAAAAAAAUUGGAUCUAUCUAGAAUCAAUCUCGUACCUGAAUUCGGAUUGGAAUCUGUUUUGUGCACUGUUCAGUAAAACAGGUGUAUCUUCCUCAUACGAAGUCCGUUUUGGCUCCGUGAGUACUCAAAUUGAAGAUAGCGACGAGCCGCAUCUAAAUAGUUGCAGAAGCAAGUUCAAUAUUUGACACCUCAAAAUCGGCUUCUAAAUAGGUCUUUUUGCCCUCCGAAGUUCGUGAACACAGCUUGUUCCAAUUUUUCAGGCCAGUUUUAGAAUUCUUUGACUCCUCAUAUCAACUCGGAAUUGAGUGAUUCUUUUUGCAUUGGAAAGCUUGAGUUAGUAGCAUUCUUUGAAAGAAUUUAUCAGAAAAUUGUCUCAAACUUUUCAAGAGGAAAGUUGGAGAGAGAGUUGUUGUAUAUCCUGCUUGGCAGUUGUUUUUCAUCAUUAUCUUCACUGCCGUUGUGAUCUUCACUUAUAUCUUGCUGUCAAGAGCUACUUAGUAUCCUUCAUUGAUGCUAGUUGUGCUACGCCGUGACCUUAUUAGUGUUCUAGGCUCGCGUCUCUAGUCCGGUCUAGCCUAGGACCAGCACAGUACCGUCGUUGAGCAUUUAUUCAACAUUGCAUCUUUGAAUUGAUUAUUGCUAAUCUUUUGCUACCAUAUAUAGCCAACCCAGCUCCACAUAUUUCUACACCGUGUAUACGUACGCUCCCCUGGCAAUCGCUUUACUCAAUAUUCGGAGUUACUUGACACCGCUGGUUGCCGAUCACCGCCUGCUGCAUGGUAAGAACUUGUAAGACAUUGAUAUUUACUUUACUGUGAGCGUUUUACCACCACAUCCUAGUAUGAUGAGGACAUGACUACCUUGGAUAUGACCAAAAAUAUUGCAUAUAUGCAUAUUUGUCUGGUGAUUUCUAGUGCAAACUAUUCAAUAAUCUAUUUAUGUUAUCCAGAACAAAAAUACUUCACACACUUUUGUGUUUUGUCUAAUUGCAGGUGUAUGGGACAUUUGUACAAUCCACAUAUGAAGAUAAGGAAGAAAGAGAUGUUUAUUUGCUGUCCAAAAAGUUCUCUCACGUCACUUUUGGCCCAAGAGAAGAUAGAGUCCAAGUCUCUCACGUUCUGGAUUCAGAUUCGGACUGCACAGACACACCUGACUCAAAACGCACACAAGUUUUUCGUACGGACUCCGAAUUGGGUGAUUCUUUUUUUGUUGGAAACUAGAUUUCGUGCACUUUCCAACCCAAUUGGAAUCACCUUCAAAUUCGUCCGGAGCGUUGAGUUGUGGACGAAACAAUCUGAUGCUGCAGCAGAAUCCGAGUCAAACUACAAGUCCAAAGGUGUUACAUCACCUCCACUUGGGCCCAUUGGCCUUGUACGACCUAGAUUUAGUUUUAGGCUGCCUUGGGACGUCCUCCCACCUCCUUGGCCACCACCCCUUGCUCCUAUAUAAGUAGAUCCAUCUAGUAGCUUUUCCUUGGGAUUUGUUUAGUUAAAAGUUAGCCAUUGCAACUUCGUGUACUUCGUUUGUGUCCAACGACCAGACCAAGACCGCUUACGGAUCCCCACCAUUAUCAAUACUUCAUAUAUAUUCGCAAUAUUCAGAUUGCUUUAUCAUAUUCUUGCUCGUUCUUCGAUUGCUUGUAGGAAUAGACCUUCGUGGUCAGGCUGACCGUGCUUCCAGCAUCGUCAGUAACCUCUCGGAGUUGGUUUAGCGAUUGCUAAGGUGCAACGUCGUGCACGUUUGUAGUCGGAUCGUCAAAGUCGUCUCCACCAAAUCGAUAGUUAUCAUCUCAUCGAAAGAUCGGGACCCCGCCUCUAUCAAGUGGUAUCAGAUUUCCAGGUUGCUCGGUGAGAUUUUACAGUUUUUCGUAGUUUAGAUCGAGUUUGUUCUUCAUACCUAAAGUCCACGAAAAAGCCACAAAAAAAAUUAGGGUUAGUUCAUCAUAUCCGAACCAAUCUGAGCCUUUGCAUAAUCUUUUUAGGGUUUUGCUUUGUUGAAUUUGCGGUUGCAUCGUCGUGUCUAGUUGCUGGUCUUAGAGUCUAGUCUUUUAGAGUUUCGAGUUCUGGUCAUAAGUUGUCACGCCGCCCCGCACCAUCAUCAUCGCCCCUGCCAUCUACCACCACCGCUUAUCCGCCACCGCUCCGAAUCCGUAUCCAUAUACCACCACCAAUCCGUGUCCAUAUACCAUCACCGAUCCAUAUCCAUAUACUACCACCGCUACCACCACCGCUGCCAUAUACCACCACCAUAUAUCCACCACCAAUCCGAGUUCCUUGCAUAUUAGGUUUGUUUUCGAGAUCCAUCUAGAUUCCGAUUCGUGUUUCCUUGCCGGAGUAGGUUUCGGAAAAAAAAGAAAAAGAAAAAAAAAGAAAAAAAAAGAUAGAAAAAAAAAGAAAAAAAAGAGAGAAGAAAAAAACUGGAUCUAUCUAGAAUCAAUCUGGAAUUGGGUGAUUCUUUUUGCAUUGGAAAGCUUGAGUUAGUAGCAUUCUUUGAAAGAAUUUAUCAGAAAAUUGUCUCAAACUUUUCAAGAGGAAAGUUGGAGAGAGAGUUGUUGUAUAUCCUGCUUGGCAGUUGUUUUUCAUCAUUAUCUUCACUGCCGUUGUGAUCUUCACUUAUAUCUUGCUGUCAAGAGCUACUUAGUAUCCUUCAUUGAUGCUAGUUGUGCUACGCCGUGACCUUAUUAGUGUUCUAGGCUCGCGUCUCUAGUCCGGUCUAGCCUAGGACCAGCACAGUACCGUCGUUGAGCGUUUAUUCAACAUUGCAUCUUUGAAUUGAUUAUUGCUAAUCUUUUGCUACCAUAUAUAGCCAACCCAGCUCCACAUAUUUCUACACCGUGUAUACGUACGCUCCCCUGGCAAUCGCUUUACUCAAUAUUCGGAGUUACUUGACACCGCUGGUUGCCGAUCACCGCCUGCUGCAUGGUAAGAACUUGUAAGACAUUGAUAUUUGCGUUACUGUGAGCGUUUUACCACCACAUCCUAGUAGUUAUAGGAACAUUAUUUUUGGGUUUUGUUUCUUGUUCUACUAAUCAUGACAGGAUCCAGAGUCAAUUCAUGGGCUUUGUCGAUCGCGGGAGACGUGCGACCACCUUUGCAAAUACCACAACCGUCACGAGAGGUGCACAAACAUCCAAAUGCACAUGAUCAGGUUAAUGUAUCUAUACCACCAUUUAAUGGCUGUUUUAAACCUGCUUUAUAUAUUGAAUGGGAGUUCGACAUAAAAAAUAUAUUUGCUUCCCAUAAUUUCGAUGAACAUAAAAAGGUUAAGGUUGCGGUUUGUUCUUUCACUGGUUAUGCUUUGGUUUGGUGGAGUGAAUAUUGUCGGUUACACCCUGAUUAUAUACCUACUACUUGGGAUGAUUUGAAACUUGCCAUGCGACAUACUUUCGUCCCUGCUUAUUAUACUCGUGACAUGAUUAAGAAGUUGCAACACUUAAAACAAGGUAGUGAAACUGUAACAAAAUAUUAUGAUGAUUUACAAACUACCUUGUUGCAUUCCUCUUUAGAAGAAAGUGAAGAUGAUUUUAUGGAUAGAUUUUGGGGAGGGUUAAACCAUGAUAUUCAAGAGAUACUAAUUCAUGAAGAGUGUUAUCCUAUGGACCAUUUGUUUCAUCUUGCUUGCAAAGCUGAACAGGAAAUAAAACGACGUGUUGCCCACGAGGAGAACAAGCGCACGGUGCACAUUCCAAGAGUUGAUAUGAUUGUUCCUUCAACUACUAGGCAUACUAUGACAACCACAUCCGUUGUUGUCAGGACUACAUCACCUCCACCAUGUGACACAUCGCCCCCGAGAGUGGCUACAUCAUCUGAGUUGAUCAUAAGAGGUAAUGACAAAGGUACUGAUCUUCCAUCUCUACAUGAGAAUGAUGAAUGCCUUGUCAAUUUGAAUGCACCAUCUGAUGAGCUACCCACUACUUUGAUCACACCACCUAUUUUAGAGGACUACGUUGAUAAUUUGACUUUGCCAUGUGAUCAAACAACUGAAAUACCAACAAUUUUGAGUGCACCCAUUGAAUUAACUAUUGAUGCAAAAGAACCAAUGUUUAAUCAUUUUGAUAUGACCUCUAAUCUUGGUGAUGAUUCUGUGUUGAAUGACUUAUUGCAUGUUUGCUUAUUUAAGCAUGUUGUAGCAUGUAAUUUUGAUGCAAGUAAGGUUUAUUCACCAAUGUUGGGAUGGUUUAAUGAUGAACAUUAUCAAUCUUUUGAAAUGAAUAAGACCUUCACUUAUAUGUGCAAACUGAGUUGCAAUAUUUUCAUGCCUUCUACUUCUUGUGCUAAUUUUUUGGCUUUAGAUUUUAUGAACUAUGCAAGUUACUCAUCUAUUCAUGUGUCAUAUAUGCAAAAAUCAAGGGAAGUAAAACUGGAUGACAUAUACAUAUACAACAUGUACACCUUGUCUCUUUUGUUAGCCACAUUUUAGAUUAAGCAAUGCCGAGGACGGCUUUAUUUUCAAGAAGGGGAGGAUGAUGAGGACAUGACUACCUUGGAUAUGACCAAAAAUAUUGCAUAUAUGCAUAUUUGUCAGGUGAUUUCUAGUGCAAACUAUUCAAUAAUCUAUUUAUGUUAUCCAGAACAAAAAUACUUCACACACUUUUGUGUUUUGUCUAAUUGCAGGUGUAUGGGACAUUUGUACAAUCCACAUAUGAAGAUAAGGAAGAAAGAGAUGUUUAUUUGCUGUCCAAAAAGUUCUCUCACGUCAGUUUUGGCCCAAGAGAAGAUAGAGUCCAAGUCUCUCAUGUUCUGGAUUCAGAUUCGGACUGCACAGACAUACCUGACUCAAAACGCACACAAGUUUUUCAUACGGACUCCGAAUUGGGUGAUUCUUUUUUUGUUGGAAACUAGAUUUCGUGCACUUUCCAACCCAAUUGAAAUCACCUUCAAAUUCGUCCGGAGCAUUGAGUUGUGGACGAAACAAUCUGAUGCUGCAGCAGAAUCCGAGUCAAACUACAAGUCCAAAGGUGUUACAUCACCUCCACUUGGGCCCAUUGGCCUUGUACGACCUAGAUUUAGUUUUAGGCUGCCUUGGGACGUCCUCCCACCUCCUUGGCCGCCACCCCUUGCUCCUAUAUAAGUAGAUCCAUCUAGUAGCUUUUCCUUGGGAUUUGUUUAGUUAAAAGUUAGCCAUUGCAACUUCGUGUGCUUCGUUUGUGUCCAACGACCAGACCAAGACCACUUUUCGGAUCCCCACCAUUAUCAAUACUUCAUACAUAUUCGCGAUAUUCAGAUUGCUUUUAUCAUAUUCUUGCUUGUUCUUCGAUUGCUUGCAGGAAUAGACCUUCGUGGUCAGGUUGAUCGUGCUCCGGCGUGGUCAAUAACCUCUCGGAGUUGGUUUAGCGAUUGCUAAGGCACAAUGUCGUUGCACGUUUGUAGUCGGAUCGUCAAAGUCGUCUCCACCAAAUCGAUAGUUAUCAUCUCAUCGAAAGAUCGGGACACCCCGCCUCUAUCACCUUGGUAUGGAACAAAUUGUGCCUCUGAUUUUGCUCAGCUUGUGUGACCGGCACACUCAAAACACGUUGAGCAACUAAACAUUCAUACCUGUCAGCGUCUUCAGGAGCCAUGUAUUGCGUCUCAUGAUCAGAAUCAUCUCCACCAUGUUCUUCACGUGUAAUAAGAGCCAAUGUCUCCUCAUCAUAGUCACUAGCGGACUCAUAUCCACCAUCCGCGGUAGCAAUCAUCACACGCGGAGAUUUGCAUUCUCUCGCAUAAUGACCUCCUCCCUUACAACGACGACAAAUAAUAUCACUUGUGUGCCCUGUUGAUGCCCUGGAAGAAGAAGAACUCUGUGCAGGCCCGGCAGGUGUGCUCUUGGCAGAUAAUGGUGGUUGUUCCUGUUUUCUUGUAUCACAGCUGUAGGAGGCACCUGAUUGAGGUGCUGGUGCAGUUGAAGUAGAAGAUGCACGCGGCGUCCAUGAGGAAGGUCGGCCUGCAGAAAAGUUAGUUCGCGCCAAUGCUUGUCGAUCCUGCACUUCACGUUCAGCUUUACAAGCAAGAUGGAAUAAACGAGUGAUAUUAGUAUACUCCUUAUAGUCUAGAAUGGUCUGAAUCUCUCUAUUUAAUCCACCCAGAAAACGUGCAAGCAUAGCUUCAUUCUCCUCAACAAUACCACAUCGAAUCAUGCCAGUUUGUAAUUCCUGAUAAUAUUCUUCUACAGAAUUUUUUCCUUGUCUUAAACGCUGCAAUUUUUGAAGCAAUUCACGAUGAUAAUAUGGUGGAACCCAACGCGUACGCAUAGCGGUUUUCAAAGCAGCCCAAGUAGUUGGAAUAGGAUAUAAUCUACAAUGUUCAGACCACCAGACACAUGCAAAACUAGUGAAAGCACAAACAGCAGCAGCAACCCGUCUCUCCUCGGGAUAUUGUAAACAUGUAAAACGUUGUUCAGUUUCUAACUCCCAAGUAAGAUAUAUAUCAGGAACAUAUCUACCCUCAAAUGGUGGAAUAUUCAAUUUCAGUUUAGGAAUAUUGAUGAGGACAUCAAUACCAUUGUUACACCCACAGCCCCUAUUGCUACAUAUACGGGACCAAUUACUAGAGCUCGCGCACGCCAAUUAAAUUAUCAGGUACUUUCGUUUCUUGGUAAUGAUUCUAAUGUUCAUGAGAAUAUGAUGCUGCCUAAAUUGGAUACAUUUGUUUUGCUUACAAAUGAAGGGCCUAGCUUGGAGAAGGAUGAACAUUGGAGCAAGAACAAGCAUGGAGAUGAUGCCAUGCGCAAGGGGAACAAGAACAGAGUUACAAGUGAUGAUUUCAGGACUUUGAAGCCACCAUAAUGGGUCCAUGAAGCCAUGGACGAAAUAUACAAGAUGCCACUUCAUAAAUUUCGUCCCGAGGCUAUUUUAGGUGCUGCGUCACCUUAUUAUUGGGCCAGGCCCAUGUAAUUUCGAAAUACAUAAGUAUAGGCUAUUUUUAGAGUCCGUAUGUGUGGGGAAACAAGAGAUAGGGUUGAUUUCGGACCCCUCCACCAAGGGCCACGAAAUUCCCCCCUCUUCCUCCAUAUAUACAGCCCUUAGGGCAUCGUUUAGACUUUGGGUUUUGUUUAGAUUAAAAGUUCGCCAUAGCUGCAACUUCGCGUACUUCGUUUGUGUUCAACGACCAGACAAAGGCGUCACAGAACCCCACCUUGAUCAAUAAAGCUUUCAUCUUAUAUUCGCAAUAUCCAGAUUGCAAUCUUAGUUUCUUGCUUGUUCUUCGUUUGCUCGCAGGAAACGGACCCUCGUGGUCAGGUUGAUCGUGCUCCGGCGUGGUCAAUAACCUCUCGGAGUUGGUUUAGCGAUUGCUAAGGCGCGACAUCCUCGCACGUUUGAUGAGGACAUGACUACCUUGGAUAUGACCAAAAAUAUUGCAUAUAUGCAUAUUUGUCAGGUGAUUUCUAGUGCAAACUAUUCAAUAAUCUAUUUAUGUUAUCCAGAACAAAAAUACUUCACACACUUUUGUGUUUUGUCUAAUUGCAGGUGUAUGGGACAUUUGUACAAUCCACAUAUGAAGAUAAGGAAGAAAGAGAUGUUUAUUUGCUGUCCAAAAAGUUCUCUCACGUCACUUUUGGCCCAAGAGAAGAUAGAGUCCAAGUCUCUCACGUUCUGGAUUCAAAUUCGGACUGCACAGACAUACCUGACUCAAAACGCACACAAGUUUUUCAUACGGACUCCGAAUUGGGUGAUUCUUUUUUUGUUGGAAACUAGAUUUCGUGCACUUUCCAACCCAAUUGGAAUCACCUUCAAAUUCGUCCGGAGCAUUGAGUUGUGGACGAAACAAUCUGAUGCUGCAGCAGAAUCCGAGUCAAACUACAAGUCCAAAGGUGUUACAUCACCUCCACUUGGGCCCAUUGGCCUUGUACGACCUAGAUUUAAUUUUAGGCUGCCUUGGGACGUCCUCCCACCUCCUUGGCCGCCACCCCUUGAUCCUAUAUAAGUAGAUCCAUCUAGUAGCUUUUUCCUUGGGAUUUGUUUAGUUAAAAGUUAGCCAUUGCAACUUCGUGUACUUCGUUUGUGUCCAACAACCAGACCAAGACCGCUUCCGGAUCCCCACCAUUAUCAAUACUUCAUAUAUAUUUGCAAUAUUCAGAUUGCUUUAUCAUAUUCUUGCUCGUUCUUCGAUUGCUUGCAGGAAUAGACCUUCGUGGUCAGGCUGACCGUGCUUCCAGCAUCGUCAGUAACCUCAGGAGAUUGGUUUAGCGAUUGCUAAGGCGCAACGUCGUUCACGUUUGUAGUCGUUUCGUCAAAGUCGUCUCCACCAAAUCGAUAGUUAUCAUCUCAUCGAAAGAUCGGGACCCUCGCCUCUAUCAAGUGGUAUCAGUUUUCAGGUUGCUCGGUGAGAUUUUACAAUUUUUCAUAGUUUAGAUCGCAUCUGUCAUUCAUACCUAUAGUCCAUGAAAAAGCCACAAAAAAAAGUUAGAUCUGUUCAUCCUUUAUCCAAGCCAGUCUGAGCCUUUGCAAUUUUCUAUUCGUUGCUUGCAUAGUUGAAUUAUCGGUUGCAUCGUCGUGUCAGUUGCUGGUCUUAGUGUCUAGUUCCUUUAGAGUUUCGAGUUCUGUUCACAUUAGUCACGCCGCCGCUGCAUCAUUAUCCCUUCCGCUGUCCACCAUCCCAUCUAUUAAUUUCCACCACGUGCUACGCACUGUUCAUUGUCAUAAUCAUAGUUGAGGUCAUUCACAUCUUCGCUUGAUCCAAUCUGCAUUUUAUCUAGUUUGUCUUGGAA